GACGAACGCUAGCGGCGUGCUUAACACAUGCAAGUCGAACGGAAAGGCCCUGCUUUUGUGGGGUGCUAGAGUGGCGAACGGGUGAGUAACACGUGAGUAACCUGCCCUUGACUUUGGGAUAACUUCAGGAAACUGGGGCUAAUACCGGAUAGAAGCUCCUGCUGCAUGGUGGGGGUUGGAAAGUUUCGGCGGAUGGGGAUGGACUCGCGGCUUAUCAGCUUGUUGGUGGGGUAGUGGCUUACCAAGGCUUUGACGGGUAGCCGGCCUGAGAGGGUGACCGGCCACAUUGGGACUGAGAUACGGCCCAGACUCCUACGGUGGGCAGCAGUGGGGAAUAUUGCACAAUGGGCGGACGCCUGAUGCAGCAACGCCGCGUUCGGGAUGACGGCCUUCGGGUUGUAAACCGCUUUCGCCUGUGACGAAGCGUGAGUGACGGUAAUGGGUAAAGAAGCACCGGCUAACUACGUG
rnacentral:rRNA from 1 species